rnacentral:rRNA from 1 species
UACGUAGGGGGCGAGCGUUGUCCGGAAUUAUUGGGCGUAAAGAGCGUGUAGGCGGUUCGGUAAGUCUGCCGUGAAAACCUGGGGCUCAACCCCGGGCGUGCGGUGGAUACUGCCGGGCUAGAGGAUGGUAGAGGCGAGUGGAAUUCCUGGUGUAGCGGUGAAAUGCGCAGAUAUCAGGAGGAACACCCGUGGCGAAAGCGGCUCUCUGGGACGGUACUGACGCUGAGACGCGAAAGCCAGGGGAGCAAACGGG